GUGCUUACUUCAACAGCACAUAUACUAAAACUGAAACAAUACACAGAUUAGCAUGGCCCCUGUGCAAGGAUGACUCACAAAUUCGCAAAGUGUUCCAUAGCUUA
rnacentral:snRNA from 1 species